UUGCACAUCACCAAUGUUCUGA
rnacentral:miRNA from 1 species